rnacentral:rRNA from 1 species
GCUUGCUUCUAUGACGUUAGCGGCGGACGGGUGAGUAACACGUGGGCAACCUGCCUGUAAGACUGGGAUAACUUCGGGAAACCGAAGCUAAUACCGGAUAGGAUCUUCUCCUUCAUGGGAGAUGAUUGAAAGAUGGUUUCGGCUAUCACUUACAGAUGGGCCCGCGGUGCAUUAGCUAGUUGGUGAGGUAACGGCUCACCAAGGCAACGAUGCAUAGCCGACCUGAGAGGGUGAUCGGCCACACUGGGACUGAGACACGGCCCAGACUCCUACGGGAGGCAGCAGUAGGGAAUCUUCCGCAAUGGACGAAAGUCUGACGGAGCAACGCCGCGUGAGUGAUGAAGGCUUUCGGGUCGUAAAACUCUGUUGUUAGGGAAGAACAAGUACGAGAGUAACUGCUUGUACCUUGACGGUACCUAACCAGAAAGCCACGGCUAACUACGUGCCAGCAGCCGCGGUAAUACGUAGGUGGCAAGCGUUAUCCGGAAUUAUUGGGCGUAAAGCGCGCGCAGGCGGUUUCUUAAGUCUGAUGUGAAAGCCCACGGCUCAACCGUGGAGGGUCAUUGGAAACUGGGGAACUUGAGUGCAGAAGAGAAAAGCGGAAUUCCACGUGUAGCGGUGAAAUGCGUA